CAGUUUAGGUUUGACAUGCGAUCGCGCGUCGACAUCGGACGCUAUGGCACACUCGUGCCUUAUGUGCCACCGAAGCCCCGACGUGCUCUGGCAUAUACCUUCACAUGUUUCCCUUCAGUAGGAAAUUGCUGGACAGGCGGACCAGCGCACCGGAAUUGUACUGACGAAGCCACAAGCAACUCAAAGAAUCUGUUUAAUUGUUGCACUUUGAACAAUCAUGCUUCUACAAAGGCCACAGCAGAAACACAGCCUGAUGCCGAUUUCUGUGCCACGAAGUAAUCAGGAGGCGAGUGUCUAAUGCGGACGAAAUCGAGUGCAUCGAGACUUAUAACGACAGAAAGCUGAGCUAGUUGAUAUGCAAUGGCAAGCCCUUCCAUGUGUUCAAAGGUAAAAUUUAAGCUCUAAAUUAAAGAAGACAUUUCUAGUCAGAAACAAGCAAAAAUGGUGAAUGCAGAGUAUCAGAAGCCCAAGGUACAGAAAUUAUGAGAAGUGUCGAAUGAUUUUAAGGAAAGACUCGUAUUUGAAAAUGCAAGACUCUUUAGUGGAGGUCAAGCAAGUCAAUAUAGGUAGAAUACUCUGCAAAAUUAUGCGAGUGAGGGGAUGUCAAACAAUGGGUCAGGAAAUGCAUUGUUUUUCUGCAAAACAAAAGCUGAUUGCCAUUACAUAAGUCACUUCAGCAUCAUGAGACUGCUGCAUGAUAAAUUCAGAAAUAAACCAAAAAACAAGACGCAAAAAUAAAAAACAAUUUAAUGAUGCUCUCUCCACACUGCGAUAAGUAAAAAAAAAACACAUCACAUCUAAUGUGGACAUAUCAGACGCCUUGUGAAACACUAAAGGAAAAAUUCAGUUUUGAGCUAUGGCACUUGCCACAUAGAUGUGGGGGGGCAUUGCGCUAAUAGUGAUAGUUACCACUGCAUUUAGAAAUUGAAAGCAUUCACGCAGACAAGGAUGAUUCUUUAUAUUUUUGGCUACCACUUCAGAUGCCUCCACCAAGUGUUACUAUGCUGCACGCAGCCAUACUAAGGAUCUCGCCGCAAUACCUGCAGGUGAAAAGCAGAAGCAGUCAAAGUGCUGGUGUGUACUAGGCACUAUGUUUGAAAACGUUUAGGCAAGAAGAGUGCAAGAAGCAGACAUAGCAACUGCAUUUAUUUCCAUGAUUCCCCAUUUGAAUGGCCUUUUCUUUUUGCUUAGACAAUGCCUACGCCUAGCCACAGCAGCUCCCUCAUACAGACUCCGCAAGCCAAGAGGCCGUGGAGGCAAAUGCAGGUAAGAGGCAAGAAACAAUAGCACUGGUAUCGACAUUCACCUAAUUUCUUUCUAUUUCUUUCGUUUAGGCAGCCAGCACACCGCGAACAGCCACCUUGACUGCAGGUGUGUCACCCUAGUCGCCAAGGAAACAUUUGAGGGAAAGCGACAGGCAAUGUGAACAGCCACUUCUCCAUGUAAACGAUACUCUUUCUCUCGGAUGACUCCUACGCCUCGCCACGCCAGCACACUUGUGCACAAAGAUGCCACGGAAGCACGUGCAGGUCAGAGGCAAGAAGCAGUGGCACUGGUGUCGACAUUCACCCAUUUUCUUUUUCUUACGCUGAGGCAGCCAGCACACCUCGAACAGCCACCUUGACUGCAGGUGUGUCACCCUAGUCGCCAAGGAAACAUUUGAGGGAAAGCGACAGGCAAUGUGAACAGCCACUUCUCCAUGUAAACGAUACUCUUUCUCUCGGAUGACUCCUACGCCUCGCCACGCCAGCACACUUGUGCACAAAGAUGCCACGGAAGCACGUGCAGGUCAGAGGCAAGAAGCAGUGGCACUGGUGUCGACAUUCACCCAUUUUCUUUUUCUUACGCUGAGGCAGCCAGCACACCUCGAACAGCCACCUUGACUGCAGGUGUGUCACCCUAGUCGCCAAGGAAACAUUUGAGGGAAAGCGACAGGCAAUGUGAACAGCCACUUCUCCAUGUAAACGAUACUCUUUCUCUCGGAUGACUCCUACGCCUCGCCACGCCAGCACACUUGUGCACAAAGAUGCCACGGAAGCACGUGCAGGUCAGAGGCAAGAAGCAGUGGCACUGGUGUCGACAUUCACCCAUUUUCUUUUUCUUACGCUGAGGCAGCCAGCACACCUCGAACAGCCACCUUGACUGCAGGUGUGUCACCCUAGUCGCCAAGGAAACAUUUGAGGGAAAGCGACAGGCAAUGUGAACAGCCACUUCUCCAUGUAAACGAUACUCUUUCUCUCGGAUGACUCCUACGCCUCGCCACGCCAGCACACUUGUGCACAAAGAUGCCACGGAAGCACGUGCAGGUCAGAGGCAAGAAGCAGUGGCACUGGUGUCGACAUUCACCCAUUUUCUUUUUCUUACGCUGAGGCAGCCAGCACACCUCGAACAGCCACCUUGACUGCGGGUGUGUCAGUAGUUGCUGUUGUACAUAUGUUCAUAAUAAACUUCAGUAAACUUGAACUUGACAAUAAACUUGAAGGCAAAUGGGA